UAAGCAUUGCCAGAUGAGCAUCUAUCCCCUUUUCCAGCUGGGCCAAAGUGAGGCUGGGAGAGGCUGAUAUCGCGGGAGUGUUGCCCACUCCCCCUUUCGCAGGGCAGGGCUUGGCACCGAAGGGCGCAGCUGGGUUUCCGGAGCCACUUCUGACUGCACAGAGAGUUCAGAUUGGGAAACUGAGGCACAGGGUACCCUAAGGUCACCUGUCCAAGAGGUGGGUUUCGGGCAGCUGUGGUGCCAGGCUACAAACUACUGACCCCUCCUGGCGAAAGGGCAGGACCGUAGGUGCAGGAGUCAAGUACGUCCUACAUAAGCCAGCAACAUGGCCAGCAUCCCGUGUUCCAAAUUGUGAGACUGGGGUAAAAGAUCAGGAGACUGGCAUAAGAAUCGCGAGACUGGCUUUAACAUGGGGAGAUGGGUGUAAAAACGAUGCAACUGGCAUGAAAAGAUUGGCCUGGAAGUCGUGAGAUCAUUGUAAAAUUGUGAGGUUUGAAAAUAUCGUGGGGUUUUCUUGGCUCCCUGGUUUCUGAGCCUUUCGGGGUCCCAUUACUCCCAUUUUCUGCCCUUUCGUGAUUUCAAUGACAGCUGAGGUUCGCCUGUCACUCUGUGACUCCAGAAGCUGGUGCCUGAUGGAACAAAGUCACAUCGAAUCUCAUGACACACUUGGGAUCCCUGGGACGCUGCUGCCGAGGAAAGAGGGGCAGGCAGCCCUGGGAUCACGGCUCCUUUGUGCUUUUCUUUACCAGUCACCUACACUGUGCUUUGCAAAAUCUGGGAGGAGGAUCUCACCAUCCGCAAGACAUGAGACUCCCCUCUCCCUGGGCUCGACCUGCUGGAGGUGGGGGG